UACAGAGGGUGCAAGCGUUGUUCGGAAUUAUUGGGCGUAAAGCGCGUGUAGGCGGCUUUGCAAGUCGGGUGUGAAAGCCCUCAGCUCAACUGAGGAAGUGCGCCCGAAACUGCAGAGCUUGAGUACCGGAGAGGAUGGCGGAAUUCCCCAAGUAGAGGUGGAAAUUCGUAGAUAUGGGGAGGAACACCGGUGGCGAAGGCGGCCAUCUGGACGGAUACUGACGCUGAGACGCGAAAGCGUGGGUAGCAAACAGG
rnacentral:rRNA from 1 species